UUUGCAUAUCAAAAAGCGGAGGAAAAGAAACCAACAGGGAUUGCCUCAGUAGCGGCGAGUGAAGCGGCAAGAGCUCAGAUUUGAAAUCGUGCUUUGCGGCACGAGUUGUAGAUUGCAGGUUGGAGUCUGUGUGGAAGGCGGUGUCCAAGUCCCUUGGAACAGGGCGCCCAGGAGGGUGAGAGCCCCGUGGGAUGCCGGCGGAAGCAGUGAGGCCCUUCUGACGAGUCGAGUUGUUUGGGAAUGCAGCUCCAAGCGGGUGGUAAAUUCCAUCUAAGGCUAAAUACUGGCGAGAGACCGAUAGCGAACAAGUACUGUGAAGGAAAGAUGAAAAGCACUUUGAAAAGAGAGUGAAACAGCACGUGAAAUUGUUGAAAGGGAAGGGUAUUGCGCCCGACAUGGGGAUUGCGCACCGCUGCCUCUCGUGGGCGGCGCUCUGGGCUUUCCCUGGGCCAGCAUCGGUUCUUGCUGCAGGAGAAGGGGUUCUGGAACGUGGCUCUUCGGAGUGUUAUAGCCAGGGCCAGAUGCUGCGUGCGGGGACCGAGGACUGCGGCCGUGUAGUCACGGAUUGGGAUGCCGGGGGCCACGGA
rnacentral:rRNA from 1 species